rnacentral:rRNA from 1 species
UACGAAGGGGGCUAGCGUUGCUCGGAAUUACUGGGCGUAAAGCGCACGUAGGCGGCUUUCUAAGUCGGGGGUGAAAUCCUGGAGCUCAACUCCAGAACUGCCUUCGAUACUGGAGAGCUCGAGUCCGGGGAGAGGGUGAGUGGGAACUGAGAGUGUAGAGGGUGAAAUUCGUAGAUAUUCGCAAGAACACCAGUGGCGAAGG